AGCAAACAGAAUUUAAUGAAGUGUAAACAGAUCGUGCCUAGAGACAGUGAAUGCUUCCGUCUCCUUUAGACGUCAUAAUUAGUCAUAAGUGUGCUUCUUUUCUGUCACCUACAAGGCCUCACUUGAUUUUCCUCUGCUUUUUAAAAUCUUCUCUUUGUCCUGGAGGCUGAUGUCAUUAUGCAGGAUGCAUUGUUCUGCCUGGCUUCCCUCAGGCUGUUAGAUCUAAGCUCGCCUGCUCUUCCUGGACAUUUACAGUAUGACCUUGCUUGCCUUUCAUGCUGGAAAGCACAAACAGAGCAGAUGGACCCAAGUCCCAGCCCCAGCUUCUGCAAAUGGGGUCUGCGGUUUUUAAAUUAACAAAUGGAAAAGAUAAUGGGUUUACAAGGCCGUUGCGAAGAUGACACCGUGUGUAAAACAGCAGGAAACAAUGUAGAGAAAGUCUUCUGUAAGGUUCUGUGUGUGUUGGACUGUUCGACACUCUGUACUAGAGCACCCCACUCUUCAACCCUGGUUCAGGUGACCUGGAGACAAGGAUUGGCAGUUACAAGCAUUUGUUCUUUUACAGUACUGGAAUUUCCUUCCCAUCAAUCACUUUGGGCAUCUCCCUACCACCUGAGCCACAGUCUCAGGAGCCACAGACCUCUUCUGGCCUUUUAAGGCACCCUUAUAACACACAAACACACACACAUGGAAAAUAGAAUAAAUAUAUAUAUUUAAAAA